CGCGCUGCGCCCCUGCUGAGCGGCGCGGAGCUACCACGCCCUGCCAGACUCGCCCUUGGGUCCCUGUCUGACGAGCUCUAGGCAAUCUGCCCUCGUUCGGGACACAACCAUCGGUCUCACCCCUCAGUUUCUGCCAGAGAAAAAGGAAAAGUCACCGAGAGGCCUGACCCUGACGGGUGGGGGAGAUGCGCGUGCGGAGUAGCGGGAAGCGACUGAGGAGCGGGGAAUGGGCAGCAUUUGAAUGGAUGCGGGUGCCGCUGGCACCCGGGAAGACGCUGGGGGCCGGCGCUGUAGAGCCGGGCAUGGGCUGGGAUGUGUUUGGAUUCCAAUCCGGGCCUGACACCAGUUCAGUGACCUCGGGAAGUUCCCCAACCCUCCGGGCCUGUUUCCUCCCUCUGAAGUGGCGACAGUAGUAGAACCGACCUCGUAGGCUCAUCGGGAGGUCCUGAUGGGAGAACCCAUGCAACUUGCCACCAUAGAGCCAGGCCCGCGGCGGUUGGCGCCUGGUGGGUAUUAAAGACGAGUCGGGAAAGAAGAGCAGGUAAGAGGGUGGGGAGACUGGCCCAGUGGGUUGGGGUGUGCACCUCGGCCACGUGGAAAAGCGAGAAUGCAGAGGCCGGACGCUUAUGGACGAUGCAUAUGUGGGGCCGGAUAGAAUUGUGGCAGGCGGCGCUGGGGCUGAUGCUCCUCACCCGGAUUAUCCUCUCUAAUCCUCAGCCCUGUGAAGUGGGCACUGCCCUGAACAUUUUGUAAAUAAGGGACCCGAGGCUCAGAGAGGUGAAGUAACUUUCCAGACAGCCCAGCUCGUCAGCGGCCAGCAUUUGAAGUCACACUCCAGAGCCUGUUUUUAACAUAAUAGCCGCUGUGACCGCAUAACCAACGUGUGUGUUGAAGUGAUCAAAUAACCAUGGAGUGUCUUUGAUGUCCAGGACUUUUGAGAAAUACCGAAAAAUAUGAGGCAAGGCCCCUGCCUUCAAAGAGCUUGCAAGUUUUUGGGGGAGACUUAGGCACAAAUUAACCAACAUCUGUUGAGCACUUGCUGCUUGCCAGGACCCUGCCCUUCCCCUCGUGUCUUCCUCCCUUCCAGGACUCACCCCCUCACUUACCCUCCCCCUCACUUACCCUCCCCCUCAAUUCUCACAGCAACCCUGGGAGGUAGGCCUUAUGGUUUCUGUUUUGCAAAUGAAGAACCUGAGAUUGAAGAAGAGUAGAGAUUGGAGGAUCAGAUCCUGAGAGGUCCCAUGUGCUUUCCAAUAACAGUUCAGUAUAUUAGAAGACAGUGUGGCAUCCACGGCCAAGUACUACUAGUUGAUAGACUGGAUGCUGCUAUGGUAAUCUGCCUCAGGAAAAUGCCGGACUGUUGUUUGCAAGCUGGUUAAGUGAGCAAAUCUUGGGAAGAUUUCAAGGACACCAACAUGGCACAUGUAUACAUAUGUAACAAACCUGCACAUUGUGCACAUGUACCCUAAAACUUAAAGUGUAACAAUAAUAAAAUUUUUUUAAAAAAGCAUGGAAUAAGGCCAUACCCUGUGGGUAGGGUAUAAAGGUUUCCCUCUAUAUAGUAGGUGUUCUUAUUAUCAGUCAUUCAAAGAAAAAGAGAAUCCUCACCAGAAAAUCUUGGAACAUAGAACAGAUGGAAGGUGGCACUUCUGGAUAUGCCUUUUUACAUCUGAACUUGGAAGAGUUAAGAAUUGUUGAAGGCCCUUCUCACUGAUCAGGGGAAAUAGCUUCUGUCACAGAGCUGCCUACUCCAGGAGAACCAAAAAUGAAAGUAAACACUCAUAUUUUGUAAGUCUGUUCCUCAACUUCCAUCAAUCAAGUUUAAUCUAAAUCAAGGAUUCAAACUGAGAAGCAUUUAAGGACCAAGAAAAAGUUAAUUAGCCCAGUAUAAGUCAACAAGAAAUGGUAAGCAGUAUGGAGGAAAAGAAGUGCCACACCCUUCUAGGCAUCCAAAUUCAAGCAUUUACAAUGUACUUCAUGAAGCAGUACCCUAUACAGCACUAAUAACAGCCCAAACUUGCUUGACAUUUCUACAUAACACAUUAUUCAUUAAUUCAGAAGAAAAAUAGAAUUCUUAAAACUCCUAACUUUAUUUUUAAUUAAUAUAAAGGAGGAACCAACAACAACAAAAAAUUGUGUGGGAGUUAGAAAAUAAGGACUAGGCGCCUGGGCGCGGUGGCUCACGCCUGUAAUCCCAGCACUUUGGGAGGCCGCGGUGGGCAGAACACGAGGUCAGGAGAUUGAGGCCAUCCUGGCUAACACGGUGAAACCCCGUCUUUACUAAAAAAUAGAAAAAAUUAGCUGGGCGUGGUGGCGGGCGCCUGUAGUCGCAGCUACUCUGGAGGCUUGAGGCAGGAGAAUGGCGUGAACCUGGGAGGCGGAGCUUGCAGUGAGCCAAGAUCGCGCCACUACACUCCAGCCUGGGCGACAGAGCGACACUCUGUCUCAAAAAAAAAAAAAGCUGGAAGGUAUCCAGAAAUAAGGCAUUCAGAAAUGGAGGCACACAUAGAUGAAGGCAAAGGCCAUUCCUAUGAAGGCAGGUCUGUAGGCAGCUGGUUAUUUGUUUUUCUCAGCCUCUCUUGGUUUUAUCUUCAGGAAACUCCCAAGCAUUCUGGAAGCUCUGCAUGUGAGUAAGAACCACUGCUGUUGCUGUUGCUGUAGCUGCCUGAAUCUAUGGCAAAAAGCCAGGAAAAAAAAAUUGCUUCACACCAUGUGCACCGACUCCCCUGGAGCUGGCACCACCAGGGCGUCUGCAGAGCUAUGUAAGUCGUUCUCCAAGCAGUCUGUCUCUUUGGUAGCUACAGAAACAGUGUUUGUUAUCCUUUGUUUUCGGUAGACAGGCAAAAAUCUGAUGGCGACAUUCUCUCUUUCUGAAGUUGGAGAGCCAACCAGCAAAACCUUCAGAAAGAAGGCAGCUUCUACCAGAGGGAUCUUGUCUCUUAUUGCUGCUUUCAAUACUUUGGAGCCUCAGUGAGAGGACUCCCUAUGAAACCAUGGAAUUAAAGUUGCCCUUUCAGAUUUUAACCUUGAGAUCAAUGCACAGUGGGUCAAAGUAUAGUUAUUCAAAGUCUUAGUAAAGAGGUAAAAUGGCUCCCUGGUAAGCAAGAUUAUGCUAUAAUCUUAAAAUAGGCUCACACCUGUAAUCCCAGGGUGCUGGGAUUACAGGUGUGAGCCACCGCGCCCGGCCUGGAACUCCUGACUUUAUAAUCCACCUGCCUUGCCUCCCAAAGUGCUGAGAUUACAGGCGUUAGCCGCCACGCCUGGCCCUCUUCAUCUUCUUUUAAAGCCACCCACCAGUCACAUCAUGGAGGCCCCACCCUGAUGACCUAACCUAUUAUCUAAUCCUGAUUACAUCCCAAAGGCCCCACUUCUAAUCAACAUAUGCAUUGGGGAUUAAAGUUUGGAAUACAUAAAAUUUGGGAGACACAUUCAAAUCAUAGCAAUAGGAAAUACCAUCUUUGGUGGAAAAACAUGUGGCUUAGAAAGCAAGUCUAUGGUUUUGAUGGAAGUAGCAAAAUACUUUAUCAUCACAAAGCGGUAUCUAUUGUUGCCAACUUUACUUUCCCAUCACAUUAGCCUUGUAUUAGAUGAAGUAAAGAAAUAUGAGUUUUUAAGUAAAUUAGGUUAACCAGAAAUGCAUUAAAUUGUUGUAAGUAAAAAUUAAUUAAUGGAUUAAUAUAAACAUAAAGAAAAGUUUCCAAAG
rnacentral:lncRNA from 1 species